GGGGAAUCUUGCACAAUGGGGGAAACCCUGAUGCAGCGACGCCGCGUGAGCGAUGAAGCCCUUCGGGGUGUAAAGCUCUUUCGGCAGGGACGAUAAUGACGGUACCUGCAGAAGCAGCUGCGGCUAACUACGUGCCAGCAGCCGCGGUAAUACGUAGGCAGCAAGCGUUGUUCGGGGUUACUGGGCGUAAAGGGUGCGUAGGCGGCUCUAUAAGUAUGGUGUGAAAUCUCCCGGCUUAACCGGGAGGGUGCGCCGUAGACUGUGGGGCUAGAGUGUGGGAGAGGAAAGUGGAAUUCCUGGUGUAGCGGUGAAAUGCGUAGAUAUCAGGAGGAACACCGGUGGUGUAGACGGCUUUCUGGACCAUAACUGACGCUGAGGCACGAAAGCGUGGGUAGCAAAC
rnacentral:rRNA from 1 species